GAUGAACGCUGGCGGCGUGCCUAAUACAUGCAAGCCGAGCGAACGGACGAGAAGCUUGCUUCUCUGAUGUUAGCGGCGGACGGGUGAGUAACACGUGGAUAACCUACCUAUAAGACUGGGAUAACUUCGGGAAACCGGAGCUAAUACCGGAUGAUAUUUUGAACCGCAUGGUUCAAAAGUGAAAGACGGUCUUGCUGUCACUUAUAGAUGGAUCCGCGCUGCAUUAGCUAGUUGGUAAGGUAACGGCUUACCAAGGCAACGAUGCAUAGCCGACCUGAGAGGAUGAUCGGCCACACUGGAACUGAGACACGGUCCAGACUCCUACGGGAGGCAGCAGUAGGGAAUCUUCCGCAAUGGGCGAAAGCCUGACGGAGCAACGCCGCGUGAGUGAUGAAGGUCUUCGGAUCGUAAAACUCUGUUAUUAGGGAAGAACAUAUGUGUAAGUAACUGUGCACAUCUUGACGGUACCUAAUCAGAAAGCCACGGCUAACUACGUG
rnacentral:rRNA from 1 species